GUCCGGACCGAUUCUAUGAUCGUCGUACUGUGGGGUGCUACGUGAUUACUGGAUGAGUGGUGCAUGGCCGUUCUUAGUUCGUGGUGUUAAUUGUCUACUUAAUUGUCAUCAGUUUAAUACGUGUAUUGAACUAUGAACGAACGAGAUCGAGACCCGUGGUUGCGUGUGUUUGAAUUCGGUAUUACUACGGGGAUCGCGUAUUACUCCACGGUACGAUCGAAAGACUCGGCAAUAACAGGUCUGUGAUGCCCUCAGAUGUUCUGGGCUGCACACGUGCUACAGUGUGGUUCUGUUCAUAUGUGUAUGCGUAGACUUGAGAUCCCCCGCACCGAGUCAUAACUGGUCACACGGUGGACUCACCGAUUGCCAAGUAUUCUGUAUCUUAACUAGGAAU
rnacentral:rRNA from 1 species